rnacentral:rRNA from 1 species
CCUACGGGUGGCUGCAGUGGGGAAUAUUGGACAAUGGGCGAAAGCCUGAUCCAGCCAUGCCGCGUGAGUGAAGAAGGCCUUCGGGUUGUAAAGCUCUUUCGACGGGGACGAUGAUGACGGUACCCGUAUAAGAAGCCCCGGCAAACUUCGUGCCAGCAGCCGCGGUAAUACGAAGGGGGCUAGCGUUGUUCGGAAUUACUGGGCGUAAAGCGCGCGUAGGCGGUGAUCCAUGUCAGAGGUGAAAGCCUGGAGCUCAACUCCAGAAUUGCCUUUGAAACGGGAUCGCUAGAGUCCGAGAGAGGAUGGCGGAAUUCCUAGUGUAGAGGUGAAAUUCGUAGAUAUUAGGAAGAACACCGGUGGCGAAGGCGGCCAUCUGGCUCGGUACUGACGCUCAGGCGCGAAAGCGUGGGGAGCAAACAGGAUUAGAUACCCCUGUAGUC